rnacentral:rRNA from 1 species
UACGGGGGGGGGCAAGCGUUGUUCGGAAUUACUGGGCGUAAAGGGCUCGUAGGCGGCCAACUAAGUCGGAUGUGAAAUCCCCAGGCUUAACCUGGGAACUGCAUCCGAUACUGGAUGGCUUGAAUCCGGGAGAGGGAUGCAGAAUUCCAGGUGUAGCGGUGAAAUGCGCAGAUAUCAGGAAGAACACCAAUGGCGAAGGCAGCUCUCUGGGACGGUACUGACGCUGAGACGCGAAAGCGUGGGGAGCGAACAGG